UAUGUUGCUCUGAAUGCCCAGCUCCCCUAGCUCUAUGUUACGAUCCCCCUCCUCGUUAACUAAGUCUCGAAAGUACGUCUGCCACCUCUGCUUGACUUAAGACUCCCCCAUCAGGACUCUACCAUCCUCGCCGUUGAUGCACCUAACUUGGUCAAGAUCAUGUGCCUUCGUUUCCCUUGCUUUAGCUAACCAGAAUAACUUCCUG
rnacentral:lncRNA from 1 species